GGACCUCCUACUAGUGUGGUAUGAAAUGGUCACACAGAAGGUGGUUUUGGUGAGGGCAAAACUUCCUGCCAGCCUGAUAUCUAACUGUGCCGCUGUGGGAAGAGGAGUGCACAGCGAAAGAAAAGGCGCCCCGGAGCACCCUCGCUUCUACAGCAGAAUUCAUACAGUAGCAGGGACUAAAAACCAAUUGGCAAGACAUGGAUUGUAAGAUCAGCUCAGAAGAGAGAGAGGAUGCUGACUCUGAAACCCAUUCUAACAAGCAUGCAUGUGCACACACAGACUGCAACAUCAUCAUCAUCAUCAUCAUCAUCAUCAUCAUCUAAUGUUGUAAGGUUUCCACCCGUAUGAAUUUGGAAGAAGUGUAGACACAGAAGUGGACUGGUGACCAGAGUCCAGCCUUUUCUUCAGAAUCAAUAUCCACAGUCUGGCCAUGGGACCUAAGCCUGAAUGUGCCUAUGUGAAGGUGCUGAGCAGGAGCACAGAGGCAAAAGGAUGCCCUGAAUCCUGAUGCGCCCAGUUCAAAGCGAAUGAAUCAGGGAGGGAUUUGAAGAACGCUGUCUCCACCCCAAGGCAUUUCCAUCCUUUUAUUGCUCUCUCAACUUUAUGGUUACUUUGAGCACUGCAGCUUAUUUAGCUACUUCCCUGGGUAGGGCAGAUAUUUCAACAGAUGUGAGCUAUGCCAACUAUCACCUACAGGGAAGGAGAUUAUAAAGGAAAGAACAUUUGAGAGGAAUUAACAAAAAGCAAAUAAAAUGGCACGUCAAAAAGGAGAGCGUCACCGAGAGGGUUCCCCCCCCCCCAAGGGAGGUUGGGACAGGAGAAUGGAUCAAGUGGCGCUCUCAAGGUUUCCGAAGCUGUUUCCUGCACUAAUGUGUAUCUCCUCAUUUUUAGAUCCUAGAACAGAGAACUAGGGAACAUGGGAAACCUAAAAUAAAAAGAUUGUUGCAUUCA
ensembl:lincRNA Gm13874 predicted gene 13874